UACGAAGGGUGCAAACGUUGCUCGGAAUCAUUGGGCGUAAAGCGCACGUAAGCGACUUCGCAAAUCGGAUGUGAAAUCCCUCGGCUCAACCGAGGACGUGCAUCCGAAACUGCGGAGCUUGAGUAUGGAAAAGGGUCGCGGAAUUCCCGGUGUAGAGGUGAAAUUCGUAGAUAUCGGAAGGAACACCAGUGGCGAAGGCGGCGACCUGGGCCAAUACUGACGCUGAGGUGCGAAAGCAUAAAGAACAAACAGG
rnacentral:rRNA from 1 species